rnacentral:rRNA from 1 species
CCGCACAAGCAGUGGAGUAUGUGGUUUAAUUCGAAGCAACGCGAAGAACCUUACCAGGUCUUGACAUCCGAUGCAUAUCACAGAGAUGUGAGAAGUCCUUCGGGACAUCGAGACAGGUGGUGCAUGGUUGUCGUCAGCUCGUGUCGUGAGAUGUUGGGUUAAGUCCCGCAACGAGCGCAACCCUUAUUGCCAGUUACUACGCAAGAGGACUCUGGCGAGACUGCCGUUGACAAACGGAGGAAGGUGGGGAUGACGUCAAAUCAUCAUGCCCCUUAUGAUUUGGGCUACACACGUGCUACAAUGGCGUAAACAAAGGGAAGCGAAAGGGUGACCUGGAGCAAAUCUCAGAAAUAACGUCUCAGUUCGGAUUGUAGUCUGCAACUCGACUACAUGAAGCUGGAAUCGCUAGUAAUCGCGAAUCAGCAUGUCGCGGUGAAUACGUUCCCGGGUCGUCGACGCGGCCG